AUUGAACGCUAGCGGGAUGCCUUACACAUGCAAGUCGAACGGAGUGUCGAACGGGUGAGUAAUGUAUCGGAACGUUCCCAGUAGCGGGGGAUAACUACGCGCAAGCGUAGCUAAUACCGCAUACUAUUGGAGCGGCCGAUAUCGGAUUAGCUAGUUGGUGGGGUAACGGCUCACCAGGGCGACGAUCCGUAGCGGGUUGGAGAGGAAGACCAGCCACACUGGGACUGAGAAAGGGCCCGGCCUCUUACGGGGGGAAGAAGUGGGGAAUUUUGGACAAUGGGGGAAACCCUGAUCCAGACAUCCCGCGUGUGCGAUGAAGGCCUUCGGGUUGUAAAGCACUUUUGGCAGGAAAGCGGUACCUGCAGAAUAAGCACCGGCUAACUACGUGCCAGCAGCCGCGGUAAUAC
rnacentral:rRNA from 1 species